rnacentral:rRNA from 1 species
GAUGAACGCUGGCGGCGUGCCUAAUACAUGCAAGUCGAGCGAACGGACGAGAAGCUUGCUUCUCUGAUGUUAGCGGCGGACGGGUGAGUAACACGUGGAUAACCUACCUAUAAGACUGGGAUAACUUCGGGAAACCGGAGCUAAUACCGGAUGAUAUUUUGAACCGCAUGGUUCAAAAGUGAAAGACGGUCUUGCUGUCACUUAUAGAUGGAUCCGCGCUGCAUUAGCUAGUUGGUAAGGUAACGGCUUACCAAGGCAACGAUGCAUAGCCGACCUGAGAGGGUGAUCGGCCACACUGGAACUGAGACACGGUCCAGACUCCAACGGGAGGCAGCAGUAGGGAAUCUUCCGCAAUGGGCGAAAGCCUGACGGAGCAACGCCGCGUGAGUGAUGAAGGUCUUCGGAUCGUAAAACUCUGUUAUUAGGGAAGAACAUAUGUGUAAGUAACUGUGCACAUCUUGACGGUACCUAAUCAGAAAGCCACGGCUAACUACGUG